UUGCUUUGGCAGCACGUAUACUAAAAUUGGAAUGAUACAUGGCCUCUGGCAAGGAUGACAUGCAAAUUAUUGAAGCAUUCCGUAUUUUU
rnacentral:snRNA from 1 species